GAUGAACGCUGGCGGCGUGCCUAAUACAUGCAAGUCGAGCGAAUGGAUUAAGAGCUUGCUCUUAUGAAGUUAGCGGCGGACGGGUGAGUAACACGUGGGUAACCUGCCCAUAAGACUGGGAUAACUCCGGGAAACCGGGGCUAAUACCGGAUAACAGUUUCAACCGCAUGGUUCGAAAUUGAAAGGCGGCUUCGGCUGUCACUUAUGGAUGGACUCGCGUCGCAUUAGCUAGUUGGUGAGGUAACGGCUCACCAAGGCAACGAUGCGUAGCCGACCUGAGAGGGUGAUCGGCCACACUGGGACUGAGACACGGCCCAGACUCCUACGGGAGGCAGCAGUAGGGAAUCUUCCGCAAUGGACGAAAGUCUGACGGAGCAACGCCGCGUGAGUGAUGAAGGCUUUCGGGUCGUAAAACUCUGUUGUUAGGGAAGAACAAGUGCUAGUUGAAUAAGCUGGCACCUUGACGGUACCUAACCAGAAAGCCACGGCUAACUACGUGCCAGCCGCCGCCGUAA
rnacentral:rRNA from 1 species